GAUGAACGCUGGCGGCGUGCCUAAUACAUGCAAGUCGAGCGAACAGACGAGGAGCUUGCUCCUCUGACGUUAGCGGCGGACGGGUGAGUAACACGUGGAUAACCUACCUAUAAGACUGGGAUAACUUCGGGAAACCGGAGCUAAUACCGGAUAAUAUAUUUAACCGCAUGGUUCAAUAAUGAAAGACGGUUUUGCUGUCACUUAUAGAUGGAUCCGCGCCGCAUUAGCUAGUUGGUAAGGUAACGGCUUACCAAGGCGACGAUGCGUAGCCGACCUGAGAGGGUGAUCGGCCACACUGGAACUGAGACACGGUCCAGACUCCUACGGGAGGCAGCAGUAGGGAAUCUUCCGCAAUGGGCGAAAGCCUGACGGAGCAACGCCGCGUGAGUGAUGAAGGUCUUCGGAUCGUAAAACUCUGUUAUUAGGGAAGAACAAAUGUGUAAGUAACUAUGCACGUCUUGACGGUACCUAAUCAGAAAGCCACGGCUAACUACGUG
rnacentral:rRNA from 1 species